rnacentral:misc_RNA from 1 species
UACGUAGGGGGCGAGCGUUGUCCGAAUUUAUUGGGCGUAAAGCGCGUGUAGGCGGCUCUUUAAGUCAGAUGUGAAAUCCUGCGGCUCAACCGCAGAAUUGCAUUUGAUACUGGAGAGCUUGAGUGUGGGAGAGGAAAGUGGAAUUCCUGGUGUAGCAGUGAAAUGCGUAGAUAUACGGAGGAACACCGAUGGCGGAGGCAAUCCCCUGGACCUGUACUGACGCUCAUGCACGAAAGCGUGGGGAGCAAACAGG